rnacentral:rRNA from 1 species
CCCUUAGAUGUUCUGGGCCGCACGCGCGCUACACUGACGAAUGCAACGAGCUUAUAACCUUGGCCGAAAGGUCUGGGUAAUCUCCAAAUUUCGUCGUGAUGGGGAUAGAUUAUUGCAAUUAUUAAUCUUCAACGAGGAAUGCCUAGUAAGCGCAAGUCAUCAGCUUGCGUUGAUUACGUCCCUGCCCUUUGUACACACUGCCCGUCGCUCCUACCGAUUGAAUGGUCCGGUGAAGCGUUCGGACCGUGGCCUUUGGACGGUUCGCCGUCUGUUGGCUGCGGGAAGUUCGUUAAACCUUAUCAUUUAGAGGAAGGAGAAGUCGUANCA